rnacentral:pre_miRNA from 1 species
UUUUCCUCUUGCCUUGUUGUCAAAUUUGUUAUAGAAACACCAAAACUAAUAGCUUCGAGUUUUACUUCAUAUGCCUAACAACUUCUUUGAAAUUUAAAAACACAUAAUGAUAUGUCUUAGAAAGCAAACUGUAGGAAGGAAG